rnacentral:tRNA from 1 species
GGCGUCGUAGCUCAGCUGGUAGAGCAUGCGCGUACAAAGCGUAGGCGGCGUCCAUGCGUGGGUACGAAUCCCAUCGAGGCUA